AUUUAUACUUGCUAUACUCAUAUUCUUAAUACAGGAGGUCCUGAAUAUCUACGGAAAUUCUAUACAAAUGUCUGACUAAUGUGUCUUAUUACAAAAUAUGAAGUCUUUGUUUCAUGAUUUUGCUUAUUUAUCAGCUGUGGUUUGCAGUUCUAUUUCCUACCUACCGCUCUUAUUCUUCUGUUUUACUUCCUUAAGAGCAGUUUCUUAAUGGCCUCACCACAUGCUCGUAUCUGAUAAACUAAGAGUUUGAAGUGUAAAUUUAGAUCUAAGAUUAACAAUUUCUAAGAUAGGCAGGCUUUUUCUGUACUGCUGGUCAGUGCUGCAUGCAUAAAUACUGGAUUUUAACUAUACAAGAGCUAUGCUUUUCAAGUAAAUGACUCGACAUGAAGAUGAAUACCAGAUGAGAAGUGCUCCUUAUUACUACUCCAACUGCUCAAGAAGCAAACGUCUGUGUUGAAUCAUACAGCAGUUGGCAAGGUGAAGUGUAGCACCAUCAGAAGAAAUUGAGGGACAUGAGAAUCGCUGUACAGUCUGAGAUGAAGGGUGCACAAACUGCCUAAAUGACCUGCUAGAUGCGCAGCAACCACGGGAAGUUCAGGCAGCUCUGAGUUGGCACAGGAACCAGCCUCCUUCGGCCCCUCACAAGGAAUAUGUUAAAGGACAGCACGAUGAAAGAGAAAAAAGCCACAACAGCAGCAUCUCUGCUAACCAUCACUUUGAACUUACUCUAACCUAUACCAGGACACAUUAAAUUAAGUCCUACAUGCAAAAUCCUUCAAGUUAUCCCUUAAUUACUUUUGACCCUGAUCAAUGUUUACUAAGUGCAUCAGAAAUUUGAUCCAGGAUUCACCAACCAUAAAAGUUUGUAAAUGAUAUUACAAUAAACAUGAAAUAAUAAUAAUAAAUGAAAUAAUAUUGCAGUAAUGAGAAAUAUUACUGUCAUAAUAUAAAAACAUGUACGUACAGAAAGGAUUCAUGGACCAUAUCUGCUAGUUUCUGCUCUUAUACUAGUCUAAAAUGAAAACAAAAAACAAUAGCUCAAGCCCUCUGAACAGAAUUUUGAGGGAAUUGUGUUUUACAGAAACUGCAUAGUUGCAUCAAAAAUUUUAAAAGGACAUUUAUUAACAGAAUUUAAAUUUAAAGUCAUUCGAUAGAGCUGAUCUUGAUUGAUUCCACUUUAUUUUCCUCUAACACGUGCCAUUCCGUGGUAGAUUAAAUAGAUAAUACACUUUCCCAUUUGCCAGGUUCUAUUUUUAUAUAAGCCACGUGCAUAAGUCAGGAACAUCUGCUUUUUGACAUAUUAUCAAGUUUUUUCUGUUUUUCACUUUGUUAAUAUUGCUGAAUGUUUUGUGCAUGUUUGUAUGGAAUUUCCUAUGUUCAAGUUUUAGGCCAUUACUCUGUGCUAUUGCUCUGCACCACCAAGAAGAGCCUGGCCUCAUCCAUUUGCCUCUCAUCUACCUCCUUCUAGAUAUUCAUAAACAUUGAUCAGAUUCCCCCUCAGUUUUCUUUUCCCCAGGCUGAACAGGCUGAGGUCACUCUGCCUGGAGCAGCAGAUGCUCCAGGCCCUUUAACAUCUUGGUGGUCCUCUGCUGGACUCCCUCCAGGAGAUCCCUGAAAAAUCUGAAGGGAAUUCAUACACAGCUCUCUACUGAAGGUCUACGUGAACUAAUGAAGACUGUUGAUUUUCUCAGAGUGCUUCCUUGUACUCUUACCAAACAAUGAUGUCCCCUACUCCUCAGCAUUGAAAGCUGCAUCUUAGUCUACCCAUUAUUUAUUAAAGACUUUCCAAAUAUUUAGACAUUCUCAGAAACAGUCAGAAAACACUAAAAAUGUAUGACUAGAAAAGUACUAGCAAGAUAAGGUUCUACAUGAGGACGAAACAUAGAAUACAAAAUGCAGAAAUCCUGCUCCUCGCUCAUUUUGAAUAUCAACUUUAAGGCAGAGUUUCAGACUUUGUAAAUUCUUAUUGAUAUCACAAUAAUUCACUUCAAUAUGACAAGUCAACACUAGAAAUGUAGAGUACGUCUUUCAGAAACACUCUUGCUUUGGAGAUACCCAGACUGGGUUUCUUCACAGACUUCCCUUUCCUGAGAAACAGAGGUCAGUAACGCUGGCAGUCAAAAGACAUUUUUACACACUAACCUAACUUAAGUUAUUGAAAAUAUUUGAGUACUGCUGCAGUACUAUCAAAAAUAUUUUAAAGACUUCAACAUUCAAUUUCUGCACAUUCUCAAGACAUUCUAAGAACUGAUUAAGCAUCUGCUAAUACUAGCAAUUUAUAUGAAUUUCUCCACAAUUUAGUGCAUUUAUUAGAAUUCCAUUCUCACAUAUGUGACAAAAGACUUUCAAACUUCCUAAUAAUCAAAAUGCUGUUUUUCCACCAACAGGGAAGCUACUGAGAUCAAGAAGCUACUGAGAGCUUCUCUGAAUGGUCUCCUUUCUUAAAGUAAUCAGCAGUUAAGACAGGUACUCAGAUGUCUCUAGAAAAUGGGCUAUGGGAACAAAAUACUAUGAGGUGACAUCUGAACAAACUUUUUUUGCUGUCCAUUUCAAGAUUGUUUGGCUAAUUCACACACUACAGAUGAAGUUCUAAGCGCAUUCCAGCUCCAAAAUUCAGACUACACAUAGGUGACUAAAAUUGGGUAUUCCCUUAAGGCCGCAUUUCAGAACUUUAAUCUUUUAAGUACUUUGUCAAUUGUAACAGCUCAGUACCCCAGGCAAUUCCUACUGUAAUGAUUUGAAGACUUAAAUUAGAUAAUCACAUGCACAGAGAAAUCCCACCAUCUCCAUUUCUUUGUUCUGAAGGACUGAGACGGAAGCCUUACCACUGCAAGUUUUCCCACUCUCCACUUCAGAAGAACAUUUGAACAACACUGUCUGGUGGGAUUUAGAUAUUUCUACAUUUGUGUGACCUUAACAAAAAGCACAGAGGUGAACUUAAAUCACUGACUGCUCUUUUUUUUUUUUUAAGAGAUAACCAGUUAUUCUAACCAAAAGUACCUUAACAUUCAGAUAUUACACAAGAGCUGUUCUUCUGUUUGAAUCAUUUAAUCCAUCCAAAAAGGCAGCAAUUCAGAAAGUACUUUGGAAACUCCUACAACUUUUCUGAUACGGUACAAAACAAGAUUUCAACAAUGCAGCCAGAAACAAUAGCUAGGUUUCCAAAGUACCCUUUUUUAGUUCCUACCUCAUUGCAACACGUUAUCACAGAAAUAAAAAAAAAAAGGAUUACUCACUACUAUGAAAACAAUAUCUUUUUUAUAUCCCUUUUAAAAGUCUGAUUCAAAUUCCCUUUAGUGUAAAAGCCUCACAUAUAGAAACGUACAAUGGAACGUGUCACCUUCAGAAAAUACCUGGAGUUCACCACUUCAAAAUAACUUUAUCUUAGACCAGAUGACUGAAAUGGCUGUGGUUAAGUAAGAAGAUUCCUAUACUGCAUUGACAGUAGUUUCAGGUACAUCACAUCUUAGAUGUUAAUUUAGAAAUGAGAUUAAGUAAAGAACUGCAUUGUGCAUGCUUAUAGAUCACACACUUCCUCUGCUCCAGAACAUGCUUGCUUGUUGCGAUUCCUUUAAGAAAUUCACUCAAACUUUGUAAAGUGUCAAUUAGAACACCAUUUAUUGGAACUAUCACUAUGAGAAGGGAGAUAUUUUAGAUGUUCUUGCUUUCCUUCAAAUGCUGAGAAUCCCAGUCAGGGUGCAGCAUGUUACGCAUAUCCUGUCUGUGCAAAAGGUGACUAUUUUGUCUGAGUUCUUACAAGAUUUUUCUUCGAAGAAAACAAUUCUGUUCAGCACCUCUACUGUCAAGAAAGAAGGAUAUUCACAGGAGAACUACUUGCUGUAUUUUGAGAUAAGAGUGGUGUUACACAGUUGGUGUAAUCACUGGAACUGAGCAGGAGCCUACUGGCUCCUCUUUUACAAUGAAGUGGCCUAAGUUUAUCGUGUGGCAAAUGAAUAUGCACAGCACAGUGCAUGUCUGAAGAUCAAAGCUGUGUGUUCAGCAGAGCCCAGGCUGGCAACUGCUGAAAUUAACCAUCAAGCGAACUACUGAAUUCCCAGCGUAAGGCAGUGUUUGGGUUUAGAUCAUUAAACUCUGAAGACUGCAACUUUGUCUCCAGUAGUACACAAUCCAGAGCACUUUCUCAGAACCUGAUAAAAGAUUAUAUGUUGUUGGGUUGGGUUUUUUUUUGUUUGUUUGUUUUGUUUAUUUGCUGUUUUUAAACGAUUUUUAAUAGAGUGUGCUGGGCUAUAUCUUCCAACUUCUAUCUUCUUAUCAGAUUCACUUCUUUUUUUUGUCUGUCGUCACAUGCCUGUCAUUUUUAUCCUCCCUGCUCAGGUUGUACCCUUACUGCUUUACAAUAUGUGAUACUCAAAGAUACGAACCAAUAUGCACAUAUCAAAGACAGAAUUCACACAUCCCAUAAGAAUAUGGGAACAUAAAAAGACCGCAAAAGGAUAUAAGGAAAAUUUAUAGGUUUUGGUGUGCUGACAAGGAAAACAGAAGGGAACGGAGAAGAAUGGUGCAAAAUAAAGGAGCAGCUUGACCAGCAUAUGCCAUCUCUAAGGUCUACACAAUCUUGUUUGCAUCCACAGCACUGCUGUGGAACUCAGAAGAGUGAUUUCUGCUCUUGGCAGAAAUCUUGGCACUGACCUUCCAAAUUGUUACAAAUAAAUCUCUUUUCUGUGAUUAAGAUUUUGCAUCUAAAUAGGGGUACUGACAAUCAACUUCUAUUCAACAUAGGCAGAAAGCUGUUAGAUCUCUCUCUCUCUCUCUCUCUCUCUCAUAGCCCAGCACCAUUUAUUUAAUUUCAGUGUAGAAGAGAGAAAGCUUUCCUCUCAAAUCUCAGCAAGUCUGGAAGAGUUUGCAUCUUCUAACACUUCAAAAUGGCAAGAGGGAGAGUAACAAUGCUAACAUAUUAAAAUAAGGAAAUGAAAAGAAUAAAUCAUCAUUUAUCUUUUGGGCUUUCUUGAUCUGACUUGAAAACGUAUUUCUAAUUAAAGUCUAAUGUAAGCCAAAUGUCUAAAAAACUGAACAAAUUCCAGAACAAAAUUAAUCUUCAAGUUUGAACACCCACAGUACUAACAACUGACAGCGUUGUGUUAUAUACAGAUACUCUUACAAACCUAAAAUGUAUAAUUACUAUGGUUAUACCUCUACCCAUGACAGACAAUGUGUGUAUAUACAAAGAGGCCUUUUCUGUGUAGUAAGACUGAACAGCUUUAAAUGCCACUGUAAUUUAGGAAAAUAAAUGUAAAUUGCUGAAGAUUGUCAUACUUUUAAAGGAUUUCAGCG
ensembl:lncRNA